GGCGGACGGGUGAGUAAUGUCUGGGAAACUGCCUGAUGAGGGGGAUAACUACUGGAAACGGUAGCUAAUACCGCAUAACGUCGCAAGACCAAAGAGGGGGACCUUCGGGCCUCUUGCCAUCGGAUGUGCCCAGAUGGAUUAGCUAGUAGGUGGGGUAACGGCUCACCUAGGCGACGAUCCCUAGCUGGUCUGAGAGGAUGACCAGCCACACUGGAACUGAGACACGGUCCAGACUCCUACGGGAGGCAGCAUG
rnacentral:rRNA from 1 species